rnacentral:rRNA from 1 species
UACGAAGGGGCUAGCGUUGCUCGGAAUCACUGGGCGUAAAGCGCACGUAGGCGGCUUGUUAAGUCAGGGGUGAAAUCCUGGAGCUCAACUCCAGAACUGCCUUUGAUACUGGCGAGCUUGAGUCCGGGAGAGGUGAGUGGAACUGCGAGUGUAGAGGUGAAAUUCGUAGAUAUUCGCAAGAACACCAGUGGCGAAGGCGGCUCACUGGCCCGGUACUGACGCUGAGGUGCGAAAGCGUGGGGAGCAAACAGG